rnacentral:rRNA from 1 species
GAUGAACGCUGGCGGCGCGCCUAACACAUGCAAGUCGAACGAUUAAAGCACCUUCGGGUGUGUAUAAAGUGGCGAACGGCUGAGUAACACGUGGGCAACCUGCCCCUUUCAUUGGGAUAGCCACGGGAAACCGUGGAUAAUACCGAAUACUUCGAGACUUCCGCAUGGAAGACUCGAGAAAGCUCCGGCGGAGAGGGAUGGGCCCGCGGCCUGUUAGCUUGUUGGUGGGGUAACGGCCUACCAAGGCAAUGAUGGGUAGCUGGGUUGAGAGACCGACCAGCCAGAUUGGGACUGAGACACGGCCCAGACUCCUACGGGAGGCAGCAGUGGGGAAUCUUGCACAAUGGGCGAAAGCCUGAUGCAGCGACGCCGCGUGCGGGAUGAAGGCCUUCGGGUUGUAAACCGCUUUCAGCAGGGACGGGGCGAAAGUGACGGUACCUGCAGAAGAAGCCCCGGCUAACUACGUG